rnacentral:rRNA from 1 species
UACGGGGGGGGUAAGCGUUGUUCGGAUUUACUGGGCGUAAAGGGCGCGUAGGCGGCCACCGCAAGUCGACUGUGAAAUCUCCGGGCUUAACCCGGAAAGGUCAGCCGAUACUGCGGGGCUAGAGUGCAGAAGGGGCAACUGGAAUUCUCGGUGUAGCGGUGAAAUGCGUAGAUAUCGAGAGGAACACCUGCGGCGAAGGCGGGUUGCUGGGCUGACACUGACGCUGAGGCGCGAAAGCUAGGGGAGCGAACGGG